rnacentral:misc_RNA from 1 species
GAUGAAGAACGCAGCGAAAUACGAUAACUAAUGUGAAUUGCAGAAUUCCGUGAAUCAUCGAGUCUUUGAACGCACAUUGCGCCCCCUGGUAUUCCGGGGGGCAUGCCUGUCCGAGCGUCAUUACAACCCUCAAGCCCGGCUUGUGUAAUGGGCGGCCGUCUCUCCCCCCGGGGGGAGACGCCCCCGAAACUCAGUGGGGAUGUCGCGAUACCGAAGCCUCAGCUAAUGGGUAAACCACAGCUGCAAUGGCCGCGGCCGGCGUCCGCCUUCCACGGUCCGUCCGCCUAGCGCGGGCGGCCUUCUCAAGGUUGACCUCGGAUCAGGUAGGGAUACCCGCUGAACUUAAGCAUAUCAAUAAGCGGAGGA